rnacentral:rRNA from 1 species
UACGGGGGGAGCAAGCGUUGUUCGGAUUUACUGGGCGUAAAGAGCGCGUAGGCGGACGGUUAAGCGUGGCUUGAAAGCCCCCGGCUCAACCGGGGAGGGCGGCUGCGAACUGGCUUUCUUGAGGUCGAUAGAGGAGAGCGGAAUUCCUGGUGUAGCGGUGAAAUGCGUAGAUAUCAAGAGGAACACCGGUGGCGAAAGCGGCUCUCUGGAAGAUUCCUGACUCUGAAACACGAAAGCUAGGGGAGCAAACGGG